GGUGUAUUCCAGAUUGCCUUUUCAAUUUAUUGAUUCUUUCUCUGUGCAGAGAAGUUCAGAAAGUAUAAAGAAUAAAUGACAAUCAACCAAAAUCCCACUACUGAAAGAUCUGGAUUUUGUUGGGAAACUCAAGUACAACACUUAGCAUCACUUCCCAAAGACCUCCAUGUGGUUUGGUAAGCCAAAGUAAGCUAACAUGCCCAUGUACAGUACUGGGAAAUUUGCCCUGUACCCUUUUUAGUCAUCGUAGUAGAAAGAUUUUACUUGUUAUAAUAUCAGCAUUGUCAUUUUGCAGAACUGAGUGCAUCAGCAAAAAAAAAAAAAAAAAAGGAAAAGAAAAGAAAAAGAAAAAAAUUGUGCAUCUGCGCACAUGAGAGUGUGUGCACACACAUUUGGCUCAGCCUUACUGAGGAGAUCUUGACUUAGAAAUGAAACAAUUUUAUAAUUCAUACAAUUUAAAAAACAGACCAAAAAAACAUCACUAAAUAAGUAGUUGUCACAGAAACCUAACAAAUCCCUGAGUUACCCAGCCACAGCCUAUAUACAAGCUAUCUGGAUUUUUCCUCUAAAAAAAAAAUGGUAGAAUGUUCAAGCAGUACAGAAUUCAAACCAUAUUGUAGUGCAACUCCCUUGUCUCACAUUUUGAGGUUUUCACUUUGAUUUUACAGUGCUUUUCAUCAUUUACUAAUUGUCUACUAAUAAGCAUUUCUUAGCUUUCUUUCCCAGGCAUGUUACAAAUUCCUUGAGUGCAGAGGCUACAUCAUCUUCAUUGUGUGGCUCACCAGCCUAUUGAGUGAAAGAUGCUCAGUAAAUGUCAGAAAUGAUCCUGGUGCUUCACCUACACCUUUUGGUACAGUCGCAGAUAAGAAAAUACUUCAAGUGUGUUUAUUCUAUGCUGUUCAAUAACCCUUGAGGGAUGAAU
rnacentral:lncRNA from 12 species